CUACUUUCUGCCAAUGUUGAAUCGCCAGGAUCCCUUCACUGUUCAUAUGGCAGCAAGAAUUAUUGCCAAGUUAGCAGCUUGGGGAAAAGAAUUGAUGGAAGGCAGUGACUUAAAUUACUAUUUCAAUUGGAUAAAAACUCAGCUGAGUUCACAGAAACUGCGUGGUAGCGGUGUUGCUGUUGAAACAGGAACAGUCUCUUCAAGUGAUAGUUCGCAGUAUGUGCAGUGCGUGGCCGGGUGUUUGCAGCUGAUGCUCCGGGUCAAUGAGUACCGCUUUGCUUGGGUGGAAGCAGAUGGGGUAAAUUGUUCAUUUGAUGAAUACAGUUCAGAACUUAAAUCUGGAAGGUUGGAAUGGAGUCCUGUGCACAAAUCUGAGAAAUUUUGGAGAGAGAAUGC
rnacentral:sRNA from 1 species